rnacentral:rRNA from 1 species
AAUGAACGUUGGCGGCGUGGAUUAGGCAUGCAAGUCGAACGAGAACCCCGCAAGGGGUGAAAGUGGCAAACGGCGUAGUAAGGCGUAGGUGACGUACCUCCCGAUUCAGGAUAGCUACGGGAAACUGUAGGUAAUACUGGAUAACCCCUCCGGAAUUGAAAACCGGAGUGCAAAGGUGUGAUUCCGUCAGGAGAGCGGCUUACGUGGUAUUAGCUAGUUGGUGAGGUAAUGGCUCACCAAGGCUACGAUGCCUAGGGGGUGUGAGAGCAUGGCCCCCACCACUGGCACUGAGACACUGGCCAGACACCUACGGGUGGCUGCAGUCGAGAAUCUUCGGCAAUGGACGCAAGUCUGACCGAGCGACGCCGCGUGUGGGGAUGAAGGCCUUGGGUGUAACCACUGUCAGAGGGGAUGAAGUGUACGAGAGUUAUCUCUUGUAUUUGACAGAGCCUCAGAGGAAGCACGGGCUAAGUUCGUGCCAGCAGCCGCGGUAAU